rnacentral:rRNA from 1 species
GACGAACGCUGGCGGCGUGCUUAACACAUGCAAGUCGAACGGAAAGGCCCUGCUUUUGUUGGGUUCUCGAUUGGCGAACGGGUGAGAAACACAUGAGUAACCUCUCCUUGACAUUGUGAUAACUCCUGGAAACUCGGGCGAAUACCGGAUAUAAGCUCCUGCUCCAUGUGGGUGGUUAGAAAGUUUCGGCGGUUUGGUAUGUACUCGAGGCUUCUCAGCUUGAUGGUGUGGUAGUGGAUUACCAAGGUUUUGAUGGGUAGCCGGACUGAGAGGGUGACCCGCUCCAUUGGGACUGAGGUACGGCCGAGACUGAUACGGGAGGAAGGAGUGGAGGCUGGAGCACGCUGGGCGGCGGCAGGAUGGAGGACCUUCGCGUGCGGAUGACGGCCUUCGGGUUGUAAACAGAUUUGGACUGUGACGAAGCGUGAGUGACGGUAAUGGGUAAAGAAGCACCGGCUAACUACGUG